GCGCACGGGUGCGUAACGCGUAUAGAACCUACCUUUUACAGAGGGAUAGCCUUUAGAAAUGAAGAUUAAUACCUCAUAGUAUUGAGACUUGGCAUCAAGUUUUAAUUAAAGAUUUAUCGGUAAAAGAUGGCUAUGCGUCCUAUUAGUUAGUUGGUAAGGUAACGGCUUACCAAGACAUCGAUAGGUAGGGGUCCUGAGAGGGAGAUCCCCCACACUGGUACUGAGACACGGACCAGACUCCUACGGGAGGCAGCAGUGAGGAAUAUUGGACAAUGGAGGAGACUCUGAUCCAGCCAUGCCGCGUGUAGGAAGAAUGCCCUAUGGGUUGUAAACUACUUUUAUACAGGAAGAAACACUGGUAUGUAUACCAGCUUGACGGUACUGUAAGAAUAAGGACCGGCUAACUCCGUGCCAGCAGCCGCGGUAAUACGGAGGGUCCGAGCGUUAUCCGGAAUCAUUGGGUUUAAAGGGUCCGCAGGCGGUCAAUUAAGUCAGAGGUGAAAUCCCGUCGCUCAACGACGGAACUGCCUUUGAUACUGGUUGACUUGAGUCAUAUGGAAGUAGAUAGAAUGUGUAGUGUAGCGGUGAAAUGCAUAGAUAUUACACAGA
rnacentral:rRNA from 1 species